rnacentral:rRNA from 1 species
CAGUCGCCGCGGUAAUACGAACCGUGCGAACGUUAUUCGGAAUCACUGGGCUUAAAGCGCGUGUAGGCGGGAGGGCACGUCCGUCGCUGAAAUCCCCCGGCUCAACCGGGGAACGGGCGCGGAUACGACUCUUCUGGAGGAACGUAGGGGGACCUGGAACUUCCGGUGGAGCGGUGAAAUGCGUUGAGAUCGGAAGGAACGCCCGUGGCGAAAGCGAGGUCCUGGACGUUUACUGACGCUGGGACGCGAAAGCCAGGGGAGCGAACGGGAUUAGAUACCCGCGUAGUCCCUGUCUCUUAUA